rnacentral:rRNA from 1 species
UGGGGAAUAUUGCACAAUGGGCGCAAGCCUGAUGCAGCCAUGCCGCGUGUAUGAAGAAGGCCUUCGGGUUGUAAAGUACUUUCAGCGGGGAGGAAGGGAGUAAAGUUAAUACCUUUGCUCAUUGACGUUACCCGCAGAAGAAGCACCGGCUAACUCCGUGCCAGCAGCCGCGGUAAUUCGGAGGGUGCAAGCGUUAAUCGGAAUUACUGGGCGUAAAGCGCACGCAGGCGGUUUGUUAAGUCAGAGGUGAAAUCCCCGGGCUCAACCUGGGAACUGCAUCUGAUACUGGCAAGCUUGAGUCUCGUAGAGGGGGGUAGAAUUCCAGGUGUAGCGGUGAAAUGCGUAGAGAUCUGGAGGAAUACCGGUGGCGAAGGCGGCCCCCUGGACGAAGACUGACGCUCAGGUGCGAAAGCGUGGGGAGCAAACA